rnacentral:rRNA from 1 species
UGGGGAAUAUUGGACAAUGGGCGAAAGCCUGAUCCAGCCAUGCCGCGUGUGUGAAGAAGGUCUUCGGAUUGUAAAGCACUUUAAGUUGGGAGGAAGGGCAUUAACCUAAUACGUUAGUGUUUUGACGUUACCGACAGAAUAAGCACCGGCUAACUCUGUGCCAGCAGCCGCGGUAAUACAGAGGGUGCAAGCGUUAAUCGGAAUUACUGGGCGUAAAGCGCGCGUAGGUGGUUUGUUAAGUUGGAUGUGAAAUCCCCGGGCUCAACCUGGGAACUGCAUUCAAAACUGACCGACUAGAGUAUGGUAGAGGGUGGUGGAAUUUCCUGUGUAGCGGUGAAAUGCGUAGAUAUAGGAAGGAACACCAGUGGCGAAGGCGACCACCUGGACUAAUACUGACACUGAGGUGCGAAAGCGUGGGGAGCAAACA